rnacentral:rRNA from 1 species
UACGGGGGGGGUAAGCGUUGUUCGGAAUUACUGGGCGUAAAGGGCUCGUAGGCGGCCAACUAAGUCAGACGUGAAAUCCCUCAGCUUAACUGGGGAACUGCGUCUGAUACUGGAUGGCUUGGAUUUGGGAGAGGGAUGCGGAAUUCCAGGUGUAGCGGUGAAAUGCGUAGAUAUCGGGAGGAACACCAGUGGCGAAGGCGGCUCUCUGGGCAGAAACUGACGCUGAGAUGCGAAAGCGUGGGGAGCAAACAGG